GGGGCUAUAGCUCAGUUGGGAGAGCACCUGCUUUGCACGCAGGGGGUCGUCGGUUCGAAUCCGUCUAGCUCCACCA
rnacentral:tRNA from 1 species